UCUUGUUUGUUUUCAUUUGUCUCUUCUUUUUCUUUUGUUUGUAUACCUCUUCUUCGUUUGGUGCUGUUUACAUACAAACACCAAGCAGUUUGAUACAGUGUAUUUUGUAAAGUGACGGCUAAUAAAAAUUACGUUUCGUUUUCAAUUUCAAUUCUUGUCCAAGUUGAAGUUGAGUGCAAGGAUAAAACUGUUUUUUCAUU
rnacentral:ribozyme from 1 species